AGAGUUUGAUCCUGGCUCAGAUUGAACGCUGGCGGCAGGCCUAACACAUGCAAGUCGAGCGGAUGAAGAGAGCUUGCUCUCUGAUUCAGCGGCGGACGGGUGAGUAAUGCCUAGGAAUCUGCCUGGUAGUGGGGGACAACGUUUCGAAAGGAACGCUAAUACCGCAUACGUCCUACGGGAGAAAGCAGGGGACCUUCGGGCCUUGCGCUAUCAGAUGAGCCUAGGUCGGAUUAGCUAGUUGGUGAGGUAAUGGCUCACCAAGGCGACGAUCCGUAACUGGUCUGAGAGGAUGAUCAGUCACACUGGAACUGAGACACGGUCCAGACUCCUACGGGAGGCAGCAGUGGGGAAUAUUGGACAAUGGGCGAAAGCCUGAUCCAGCCAUGCCGCGUGUGUGAAGAAGGUCUUCGGAUUGUAAAGCACUUUAAGUUGGGAGGAAGGGCAGUAAAAUUAAUACUUUGCUGUUUUGACGUUACCGACAAGAAAUAAGCACCGGCUAACUCUGUGCCAGCAGCCGCGGUAAUACAGAGGGUGCAAGCGUUAAUCGGAAUUACUGGGCGUAAAGCGCGCGUAGGUGGUUUGUUAAGUUGGAUGUGAAAGCCCCGGGCUCAACCUGGGAACUGCAUUCAAAACUGACAAGCUAGAGUAUGGUAGAGGGUGGGUGGAAUUUCCUGUGUAGCGGUGAAAUGCGUAGAUAUAGGAAGGAACACCAGUGGCGAAAGCGACCACCUGGACUGAUACUGACACUGAGGUGCGAAAGCGUGCGGAGCAUACAGGAUUAGAUACCCUGGUAGUCCACGCCGUAAACGAUGUCAACUAGCCGUUGGGAGCCUUGAGCUCCUAGUGGCGCAGCUAACGCAUUAAGUUGACCGCCUGGCGAGUACGGCCGCAAGGUUAAAACUCAAAUGAAUUGACGGGGGGCCGCACAAGCCGUGGAACAUGUGGGUUAAGUCGAAGCAACGCGAAGAACCUUACCAGGCCUUGACAUCCAAUGAACUUUCCAGAGAUGGAUUGGUGCCUUCGGGAACAUUGAGACAGGUGCUGCAUGGCUGUCGUCGAGCUCGUGUCGUGAGAUGUUGGGAUUAAGUCCCGUAACGAGCGCAACCCUUGUCCUUAGUUACCAGCACGUAAUGGUGGGCACUCUAAGGAGACUGCCGGUGACAAACCGGAGGAAGGUGGGGAUGACGUCAAGUCAUCAUGGCCCUUACGGCCUGGGCUACACACGUGCUACAAUGGUCGGUACAGAGGGUUGCCAAGCCGCGAGGUGGAGCUAAUCCCAUAAAACCGAUCGUAGUCCGGAUCGCAGUCUGCAACUCGACUGCGUGAAGUCGGAAUCGCUAGUAAUCGCGAAUCAGAAUGUCGCGGUGAAUACGUUCCCGGGCCUUGUACACACCGCCCGUCACACCAUGGGAGUGGGUUGCACCAGAAGUAGCUAGUCUAACCUUCGGGGGGACGGUUACCACGGUGUGAUUCAUGACUGGGGUGAAGUCGUAACAAGGUAACC
rnacentral:rRNA from 1 species